ensembl:snRNA U6 U6 spliceosomal RNA
GUGCUCGCUUUGGCAGCACAUACACUAAAAUUGGAAUGAUACAGAGAAGAUUAGCAUAGCCCCUGUGCAAGGAUGAUCCAUACACAUGUAUGUAUGUAGUUGUGCAU